rnacentral:misc_RNA from 1 species
CCGGGCUUCGCGGUCUGGUUGUCACCUUUCUAUCUCUCUUCUCCCUCUCAUUCAUUUCAACCCGAAAACAGCUAUCAAUUUCUCUCUCUACAGUGGAAAGAAGAAGAACCCAAAUUAAGAGAUUUUCUUUCGUUUUUCUACAAGUUAAGACCUGGUUUAUGUUUGCUCUCUGUUUUUUCAUAAACCAGGUCCUAACCUUCCCUAAUCAAUCAAUCUACACCUCUUCUCUUCUUCACUUUUUUAUCUUUUAAGAAAAAAAAAAGAGGCUUCUUUGAGCUUAUUCUUCCACAAUGAACGACCUUCUAUCGGAAUCUUUUGAGAUCCCUCGUGGUCAGGGUUCUAGAGGUGGCGAUAUUGAAAUGGGAAUGAAUUCUGGAGAUUUGGGCUUGGAAAAUUUCUUUAAAAAGGUUCAAGAGAUUGAGAAACAAAAUGAGAAGUUAGACAAGCUACUUAAAAAGCUCCAGGAUGCGCAUGAAGAGUCAAAGGCUGUGACUAAAGCUCCUGCUAUGAAAGCAAUCAAGCAGCGGAUGGAGAAAGAUGUUGAUGAAGUUGGAAAAAUUGCUCGUUCAGUAAAGUCAAAAAUUGAGGAACUUGACAAAGAGAAUUUAGCAAAUAGGCAGAAGCCAGGAUGUGGAAAAGGAACAGGUGUAGACCGAUCAAGAACCUCAACAACUAUGGCCUUGAAAAAGAAGUUGAAAGACAAGAUGGCUGAAUUUCAGAAUCUAAGGGAAAAUAUCCAUCAAGAGUAUCGGGAGGUUGUUGAGAGGCGUGUUUUCACAGGUUUGAACCUUUCACUUGUUCCUCGUCUAUGGUUAGUAUAUCUACAAAAUGAUGCCUUGUAUAAUAUAUGAUGGUGACUGUUCCUAUUUCUUGGUCUCCUUGGUUUUCAGUGACUGGCACUAGAGCAGAUGAAGAGGUGAACUUUUUGUGGUCAAAACAUCACAAGCAAAAUUCAUAUUCUUUGUCCUCUUUUUUUCCCUUUUAAUAUAUAAAGAGUAAAGCAGCAUUUCUGAAACCUUUGGUAUCUGUCCAAACCCUCACAUCCACUGCCCACCUGAGCCAUGCUUAGGUGCCUGUGACUUCAUAUUUUAGUAAACUCAUAUUUUAAUUAUUGAACAUUGGCAGACAAUUGACAGAUUGAUUGAAACUGGAGAUAGCGAACAAAUUUUCCAGAAAGCAAUUCACGAGCAAGGGCGAGGCCAGAUAAUGGAUACUCUGGCAGAAAUUCAAGAACGCCAUGAUGCUGUUAGAGAUUUGGAGCGUAAGCUUCUGGACUUACAACAGGUUUUUCUGGAUAUGGCAGUUUUGGUGGAUGCACAAGGGGAAAUGUUAGACAACAUAGAAUCACAGGUAAUUGCACUCGCUUUUAUUGCCCAACAGCUUUGACAAGUGAAGAAAGUAAAAGAAAUUCUUAGAAACAUAUCAUGGAUCAUAGCUAAAAUGCUGUGCGAUAAUAACUAGAAUAUUAUACCUCGUGAUUUGAAUCUUUGCCUUAUCUCCUAUUUUCUAGGUGUCUAGUGCUGUAGAUCAUGUGCAGUCAGGGAAUACUGCUCUCCAAAGGGCAAAGAAGUUGCAGAAGAACUCCAGGAAAUGGAUGUGUAUUGCCAUCAUAAUCCUUCUUAUCAUUGUUGCAAUCAUCGUUGUUGCUGUAAUCAAACCAUGGAGUAGCAACAAGGGUGCUUAGUGCCUAUGCUAGUUGUAUAUGUAUAAAUGUGUCAGAACAUCAACUUUUGGGCCUCAUUCCGGCAGUUUGUUGCAGUUCAUUUACAAAUUCAGCUUGCAUCUGUUAAAUUCUAUCAUAUUCUUUGGACUCUUGGAGAUAAAUGUUCUAAGCCGGUUCAUCACUGGUGUUUGCAAUCUCAUGAUCCUUUUUCCACCCCCUUCUCCCCUUCCUCUCCUCUCCCCUGCGCGCCUUCACAUGUUUAUUGCUAAAUUUCCUAUUAUGGGCACACUGGGCUAUUACUUCCUUGCGAAAAAUCUAAUCAUAUCAGUUGCAUGUGAAAAUAUGAAUCUAGAUGCUGG